rnacentral:rRNA from 1 species
UGGCGGCAGGCUUAACACAUGCAAGUCGAACGCCCGAGCAAUCGGGAGUGGCAGACGGGUGAGUAACACGUGGGAACAUACCCUCAGGUUCGGAACAACGCCGGGAAACUGGCGCUAAUACCGGAUACGCCCUAUUGGGGAAAGGCUUGCUGCCUGAGGAUUGGCCCGCGUUCGAUUAGCUGGAUGGCGGGGUAACGGCCCACCAUGGCGACGAUCGAUAGCUGGUCUGAGAGGAUGGCCAGCCACAUUGGGACUGAGACACGGCCCAAACUCCUACGGGAGGCAGCAGUGGGGAAUAUUGGACAAUGGGCGCAAGCCUGAUCCAGCCAUGCCGCGUGAGUGAUGACGGCCUUAGGGUUGUAAAGCUCUUUCGCACGCGACGAUAAUGACGGUAGCGUGAGAAGAAGCCCCGGCUAACUUCGUGCCAGCAGCCGCGGUAAUACGAAGGGGGCUAGCGUUGUUCGGAAUCACUGGGCGUAAAGGGUGCGCAGGCGGGUUCAUAAGUCAGGGGUGAAAUCCCGAGGCUCAACCUCGGAACGGCCUUUGAUACUGUGGAUCUUGAGUCCGGAAGAGGUGAGUGGAACUGC